GCCUUGUAUCUGUUUUGUGCUGUUUAAUGGGUCUUACCAGCCCCCACCCUGUUACUUUUUCAGGGUCCGAGGAAUGGAGUGUUAUGCCGUUUCUUGGCGCGGUUAGCGGGUGGAGGAGACACGGUCUCCAGGCCGUCCGGACUUGUGAGCACCGCGCUCGUCAGCACUUCCAACUCCCCCCUGCACACACACAACUUUGCCUCAGGUAAUCUGCCUUCAACGCUCAACUAUAGGGAGAAUCUCCUUGAGAGGGGGAUGAAAGGGAAGUGGACCACUAUCUGAAAACAUCAGAGAGAGGAGGAAAGGGAGCUGUUUGGCCGAUGUGGGUUCAAAGCUUCUGCCUAAACGUAGGGGGCUGGUCAGUACGACUGUCUCGAACAGGAGUGAGUUUAAUUCCUGUUGUCUCCCUGUGCCGCCUCCUCUGUGUGAGCUCCAUAAAAGCUCAAAGAGCGAGAGGAUGAUUAUUAGCUAAGGGAUAGCGUCCCUAUUUCUGAGUGAAUGAGGAAUGUGAAGAAAGGAGUGUUUAUGUUCUGUCCAGCCCCACCCCUCAAAAGGGUACUCAAACCUACCCAAGUGGAAGGACCACUUGAGGGUCCCCACGAGGGGCCCUCGGUCGCUGCCUCAGGCUGCUGUUGGCUGCCCUGUGACUAAGGGGAGCACAGAGGGGAAAAGCCGCUCAACCCGGGACACUCGUGCUCUCACCUAGAAACCAAUCGGGCCGUGGUUGACCCAGGAGCCCCACAGGGGUUAAUAUGUAACCAUGGAGCUAUCAGGGGAGGCAGAGCAAACACCCAAACCUCUUGGUCCCCUAAGGCUUCUAGCUUUCCCUCCCUCUCGCAGCAGCUUUUCCCGAGCUCCCCCCUCCCCUCCAGCUACACCCUUCCACUCCCUUACCGCCACCCCCAGCCCCAGGUUCUCAGCAGUUCUGGCGUUAGCUCUUCGUUCCACUGGAGGCGGGAGGGGAUCCCGCCCCAAGGUGGGGAUAGGCUGACACCUAGUGACCGCGAGCUGCAACUGCCUCGGGCCGCUGGCCUGAAGAGUAAGGGUCACCCCAGCAGCCCCGGCAAAUCCGCGGUCUUUCCUCGUCCCAGUCUCCAAGGAGCCAGGAGAAGAGAGCUGGGACUGUCUGAGGGAGGAUUGUGACAGCCGCACGGCCCCGGGAGCCUAAAAGCGAGCUGGGAAGAGGGGUGGUGAUAGAUUAGUCGACCCUUUCCAGGCACGGAGUUGAUGCGGGGCGCCAUACACGCAGAAAAACUGGCCUGAAGAAGCUAGA